GGGAGGCGAGCAUCCCUGUUUGACUACACAGCUCUUACACAAUGUUAGCUCAAUUUGCUUUUUUCAUUCUUAAAUGAAGUAUUUUGCCUACAGCAGAGAAAAUGUCAUUAAUUUUAUAAUUUGCCCAAGAGUUUAAAAAGAAUGCUCAUUAAUCUAAAUAACAGGAUUAAAUUUUUCUGAAAGUAGAAUAGAAAGAGCAUCAAAGAAGGCAAGAAAAUCAAGAGCAUUCGUAUUUAUAUUUUCUGUCCACCCACCCAGAAGGCUACACUUGCCUCCCAGAUGACUGCUGCUUCUUUAAUGGCUGGUUGUGGACACAUGAAUUCAGUUAGGACAUCCUUUGCACCUCAACAUAACUGUAUGCCUCGGCUGGUUUUUGCUCACCACUACAGAUUACAUGGAGUUUCUUUUUACUUCUUUGGCUGACCUGUUUGAAUAUAAAAAUGAAGCCUUACAGACAUAUUUUAAUGCAAUUUGGUGUUUUCCAAUCUAGCAGAAUAAAUAACUUCAAGUUACAAUAAAGUCACCAAACAUUGCUUAUGUUCCAAACCAGGCAUCUACAAAACCAGUGGGAACCCAAUCUAGCAGAAUAAAUAACUUCAAGUUACAAUAAAGUCACCAAACAUUGCUUAUGUUCCAAACCAGGCAUCUACAAAACCAGUGGGAAUGAAGGCAGAUGCACGUAUGUUUACACUCAAUGAUCUCAGAACUGUCACAGUGGUCAAGUGGCUAUGGCAGGGUCUUCCCUGUUCUGAGAUAGGCAUCCUGAGGCCAUGCUCUGACUGACAACAUUCAGGGGAUGCAGGAGUUAGUACAUCAGCUCAUUUAGAGUGAGCAUCUUCACUGGCUGUGCUCAGACAUACAGACUACAGCAUCAAUGUGUGUCAGGACUUUAAAAUAGUGGUAUAUGAAAGAGAUUAAGGGACUGGUAGGAUGGCUCAGUGGGCAAAGGCACAGCAAGUGUGAGAAUCUGAGUUCAAACCUUAGGACCCACAUGGUGGAGAGAGAACCGUGAAUCAUUGUCUGACCUCCACCCACUACCCCAUAAACUAAAUGUUAAAGCACAAGGGAGGGAGCAGGUCUCUUAUGGAGGCUGGCAAACCCAGGAUGAAUUCCCAUCCUGGUGAAGCAUUAUACAAUUGCCAACCACUGAAACAUAAAAGCGGACACAUUCCUACAUUAACGUUUCCCUUUUACUAUGUCAUUAUAUUUGUCCAAAGGAUUUGUGUGUGUGUGUGUGUGUGUGUGUGUGUGUGUGUGUGUGUGUUGGAAAAGGAGUUUAUAUAUGUACAUACACAUGUUUGAAAAGGUAAUGGCAGAGUUCUGAUUCUAGGUGAGGACGUCCCUCUGUUUGGCCAAGGAAACAGUGGGAGCUACCACUGUUAGAACUUAGGGACGGUGUCAGCGAUUCUGCAGCUUUGAUCAUGAAUGUUGUGACACUUUACCACGAAAGGGGCAUCUGUCACAGGAACCACAGACCAGUGACCCUUUGUCAUAUAUACGUAGACACAGAAAAACAUUGUGCCUUUAAAAAUAAGGAACCAUCUUGUCCCAUAGAGAAUGCUACCUUAUAGGCUUAACACAAAAUGCAGAGAAAAGUUUGACAGAGUCCUAGAAACUGGGACCUCUCCUGUCUACACCCUUUGCUUGACAGUCUAGGCUACACAUCACCUGCCGUAUACUCGAUGCCCUCGUUCUAGUCUGCUCUGCUGGGUCCCUCAGGGUCAAAGUCUCCCCUUUCCAGUUUUCCACGUUAGCUCCUGUUCCACUGGCUGGAAACCAGAACCCAUCUUCCAGAAGUCACAGUAUAAAGCAGCGUCAGGGUCCUCCUCACCCUCCCUAUGUAGUCCUGAGGGCUUAGAACAGCUCGAAUGCAUGCAGGUCACAGGCUGAGAGGAAAGAACACUCAGUUCUCAGGCAGGCUUGCUCACCUGAUCAGUAGUUUUAAAAAUUCAUCAAGAUUCAUGGUUUCCUGGCUUCUUGUGAACAGCAGCUCUGGCAACUCUGACUGCUGGCAGCAAGCAGAAUGGACUCUACGGGGACACAGAACUUCCACCUAGGACUCGGUGAUCUCAUGCCGGGACACAGAGCAUCCAUUUAGGACUCCAUGAUCUCAUGCCGGGACACAGAGCAUCCAUCUAGGACUCUGUGAUCUCAUGCCGGGACACAGACAUUCCAUCUAGGACUCGGUGAUCUCAUGCCGGGACACAGACAUUCCAUCUAGGACUCGGUGAUCUCAUGCAGGGACACAGAGCAUCCAUCUAGGACUCGGUGAUCUCAUGCCGGGACACAGAGCAUCCAUCUAGGACUCCGUGAUCUCAUGCCGGGACACAGAGCAUCCAUCUAGGACUCCGUGAUCUCAUGCCGGGACACAGAGCAUCCAUCUAGGACUCCGUGAUCUCAUGCCGGGACACAGACAUUCCAUCUAGGACUCGGUGAUCUCAUGCCGGGACACAGAGCAUCCAUCUAGGACUCCAUGAUCUCAUGCCGGGACACAGACAUUCCAUCUAGGACUCCAUGAUCUCAUGCCGGGACACAGACAUUCCAUCUAGGACUCCGUGAUCUCAUGCCGGGACACAGAGCAUCCAUCUAGGACUCCGUGAUCUCAUGCCGGGACACAGAGCAUCCAUCUAGGACUCCGUGAUCUCAUGCCGGGACACAGAGCAUCCAUCUAGGACUCGGUGAUCUCAUGCCGGGACACAGACAUUCCAUCUAGGACUCCGCAAUCUGAUUCGGGGACACAGAGCAUCCAUCUAGGAUUCCAUGAUCUCAUGCAGGGACACAGAGCAUCCAUCUAGGAUUCCAUGAUCUCAUGCAGGGACACAGAGCAUCCAUCUAGGACUCCAUGAUCUCAUGCCGGGACACAGACAUUCCAUCUAGGACUCCGUGAUCUCACCCCUGUGCAGUCACUUCUUUUAUGUCCCUUCUACCCACAUGAUCUAAAACAGCCUAUCACCUUUUCUUCUGUAUUUCCUGUCACCUCUUCUCCACACUAUCUGGGAAAACGAUCUCUUAAAAAGCAUCACUUACAGGACUUAUCUCUCUGGCGUCAACACGACUCUGCUGUUCACCCACUGCAUGGCUUUGCACAUGAACACAGACCUAUCGUUCUGAAAACCGUUCCAAUAGCACAGACACCGUUCAUUUUUACUGGCAGUCCUGUAACAUUUUGAUUCUUUGACCAAUACAUUUCCUGCUGCCUUCUAUAAUCAUCUUCUCUGUAACUAUGUCAUUUUUGGGAGCACUGAACUUGAUGACUAGCAUUUCUUCCUGGUGCUUCGUCUCUAAGCUAAGUAAUAGUCGAUAGCAACAGAUAGCAGCCAAUACCCACUGAAGCAUUUGUACUGGCUGCGAACACAGACUAAAAUCCUUGCUAAUGCACUCAAGAAUAGGUCUGGACACUUAGUUUACCUCAGAGCAAAUACCUCACACAGCAAGCGAUUCUCACAGAAGCACAGCCCUGCCUAGGGCCCCUUUCAGGGAGCUACCACUUUCAAAAAAAUCCUCCCUUUUGACUGAAGUCUGAUCUUGUUUGCUGUGCAUUUGGCCCCUAAGCAUUUGGAAGUGACAGGAAUGGAAUGCUGCCUCUUCUACGGGUCCUGUGGCUCUCUCUACAUGGCUGAAAACAGCUUUUAUUUCCUUCAGCUCACAGUUACUGACUAGAUAACACCCAAAUAGGAGUUCCGGGGUUCCACACAGAGAAGAGUCACAUGGAAAGAGCACCGUUUCCUGAGAGGAAUAGCAGGAUCCUAUAAGAAAUGGGACUUAGCAGUAUCUUUGCAUAAAUAACAGAUCUGUUCCAAUUCACGGCAGUAAGCACCCUUGCCUCUUCAUAACUGGGUCUGGUAGAGACUGCAAGGACCACUGUAAGGACCAGAGUUAGGAUCUUGGAAGUCACAUCUCUGAACAUCCUUUAUUCUUAGACGCAGACCUCAGAAGCAGGCACUUGCAGACUGGCCAGCACCAUUGACUACAAGUGUUACCUCCUGAUGUUUUCUCUCAUGCGUCAAACCACUCUGGGCUUCAUGUCCUACAUGAAAAGACUCAUCUUGGGAAGUGAGGUGUCUCAGUGUGUGAUAAUACUUGCCGCUAAGACUGACAACCUGAGUUUGAUCCCAGGACACAUGUGAUAGAAGAAGAAAACUUACUCUCACAAGCUGUCCUGUGACAUCCACACAUGUGCACACACACACACACACACACACACACACACACACACACACACACACCACCACCACCACCACCACCACCACCACCACCACCACCAUAAAAACCAACAACAAAACAAGAAAGAAAAUAAACCCUCAAUUUCCCUAUUUAAUACAGAGGUUAAUUCAAAUUUUGAAUUCAAUCUACAUCUUGAGAAUGCGGUGUCCCUCAAAUGAUAGAUUAUCAAUUAAUAUUAAGUUUCCAAGUAACCGCAUUAUGAGCAGAGAAUGAUGGGACUUCUAAUAGAAGCUUGUGAGUUCAAUUCUUUCGUGAACAGCAUUUCUUCUGGGCAAUCUGAUCCAGGGUGAGCAUUCUGUGUCCACAACUCCCAUGUCACAUGGGAAACUCUGUGGAGGUUACACUUGGGGACAGACAUGGACACUGCCUCCAAAGGCAUAAUUAUGGUUAUAAACUGACAAGCUCUACAAUACUUGAUGGCCACUCAUCUCCAUGUUUCAUCAAGGACUUGGUCUUUUAUUAUCUGUCUCCAUCAAAAUGCCCAAGGUGUAGCGUGAACUCUUGUGGAUGCAGCUGGAAUGAGCAGCAGCAACAGCUGUCUGUCUGUGUGACCCUGGCUUUAAAACCACAUUAUGGAACUGGUCAACUUCUGCAGACUUGAUAAGAGGCUGGCCAAGCCAGUUUCCCCACUGCACACAGUGGCAGGCAGCUCAGAUGUGCUGGGCAAGUGCUUGAGAAGUUUUCUUGUAUCUGUCAGAAGCACACCAGCAUGAAGUCACGAAGAUGUUCCUGCUCUCAGAGCUCAGUCAGGCCUGGGUGGUUUCAAGGUUAUGAACAGCAAGCAAAAAAAGACCUUAAGGAGGCUACCGCCCAACCAAGCACGUUCUCCAAUAACGCCCAUGACUUCUUAGACCCUUCCAGGGUGACUCUGAUGGGGCAUCCCCUGUGCAACCGAGCCUAGGCAGCUUUUGUAGCUUGCAGUGCUAUGGUGAUCCUAAAGGAACUCUUUCCUAAAGAGAAAGUGUUAGGUGCUGACAGCCAUCACAGUUCACACAGAGCUGAAGGUAAAGGCAGGCAGAAAAGUCUCUCUGCAUAGUCAGAGAGGGUGAAGCUUAGGAAUUACCACAAGUUAAUUCAGAAAGUAACAUCUACAAUACAAAAAAGCAGGAAGCCUGGAUAAGAGCUAAACGCUUCCCACAUGGCCUCACUGUCAGAGGUAUCUUAGUCAUAUUUAAGCAUCAUCAGCACAGAAACAGCAUACCUGAAUCCUUCAAUGGCCGGAACUUACAGCCUGCACUCUGGGAAUCAGAAGCCCACCUCCCUCUGAUGCUCUGAAGACCAGGAUGUCUGCAGAGGUGGAAAGAAAGCUCUCUCUCACCUCCACGACAGCCUCUUGUGAACAGAAUGCCUACAGGCCUGGGGCUUUCAAUAAAAUGCUUCCAGUUAUGAUCUUGCCUGCAACUCUGCUGGAAGAAUAAUGCAAUUUCAGAAAUCAGAAAAGGCUACGUUUAUUUACUAAAAUGACUCCCACGAAGUCAUAAAUUCCAGCCCAUUGCAUUCUCAGGACUGACUACAUUUAUGAUUCCAUACCAUCUAUAACUUACUUUAAAAUACUACUGGUUUCGACUAUUUUCCUCAUGGCACAUACAUUAUAUUUAAGAUCGUCUAUUUACAUCCAUCCAAAAGAAACAAAAUCCAAUGCUUGUGACAAGCAGUAAAACAUGCAGGUUGUGUUGUUUAAUUUCACAAUCCACUGACAGAUAAGACCUGAGAUUUCAAAACAAAUUGUUCUGACAACACGAUGUACCCCUGUACAACAGGCGGUCAGGGAACCGAAUCAGGCAGCGGUUACAGAGCAAGUAACGGCCUUUCAGGGUUCUAACGCCAGAGGCAGACAUCUAACUUGUGCACCUGCACCUCAUGGCAUCACCAGCAUUUGCAGCAAAGUUCAUCUACAAGCAGUGAAAAUGGCAGAACCAACCCAGGGACAACGACGAUCUUCACAGCCAGGACGGGCUAGAAACAGAGAUGCUCUUCCACCCAGCAGGACAGGAGCGGAUUACAUUUUGGCAAUACAUUAAAUCUAAGAUUCUGGAAGCCUGUAGUGUUUCUUUGUUAUUUUUUGUUUUGCUUUGAGAUGAGUAUCAAACUUCCAAUGAAGCCCAUGUUGGCUUUGAACUCACUAAAAUCCUGCUGCCUCUGCCUAGGGAGCGCUGGGAUUACAGGCAUGAGACACAUUGCCUGACUCAGUCUUAAGGUCUUAUUCAUGCUUCAAACAACACUGCUCUUAGACCUCUUGGGCUGUUGAAACAAAACACUUCAGUGAAGACUCACUACCAUACUGGAGGCCGCGGAGCUCACAAUCGAGGGGUCAGGUAAUGCUCUGUCUGCUGAGGAACUCACAGGUGGCAUCAAGUCCUAGACCAGCAAAGGCUCUCACUUUGGGGUAAGGGCACUAUUCAUCCAGAUAUGGACAACACCAACUGAUCAAAGAAGGGAUUCCCUGCAAGUUCAGGUGGUAAAGUAAUGAGCUUAAUGGGGGUUAAAUAUUGGAGAAUGAAGAAUUCAAACGUCAUCAGCAAAUCUCUUUGGGCAAUUUAGGGGCAGCUGUACUACUGAGCCAUACCCCAAACAACUGUUUGUCUCAUAAAAUCUUGGGGAGGUGAGUGACCUUCUAAGGAUCUAAUGAUGGCCAUCCGACUCCUGACCUGCUCUAUUUUCUCCAGGAGGGAUCACAGGCCCAUCAGGAUUUUAAUCUUGAUCUUGUGAGUGUGUCGUGUGGGUGGUCAUGGAUGCUUGAAUCUAGAAGGCACUGGUUAUGUCCAGCAUGGAGGAAAGUGCUAUAGAGCAGACCCUCACACUAAGGUGAGGUCCUCAUGCCAACUUGUUGAAUAUUGGUAUAACCUGCGCCCUACACAGACAUGUGGGAUGAGACACAAGCAAGCAGAGUUCCUGUGGAAGGGGUACAGUGAGCCAUUAUGAGGUUUUCUUCCCAAACGCACAAAGAUGGGGAAAAUGUAAAAAAACGCAAAACUACACAGGAAUCUAGACACGUGAUCACUGCUUCGUUGAAUGCUAGUUGCUAGCCAUAUGGGCAGUGAUGACACAUGCUCAGUUCUUAAGUGCAUGCUGCAUAUCUGACACAUGCUAAGUCCUGAGCAGCCGGGGAUAGUCUCUGACUUUAUUAGGCUCACUAUGUAUGUGAGAGCCAAGUAUAAGCAGAUCCUCUACAGUGGUUCAGAGUGAGAAAGGGGAGCACACACGUUCACAGACAGAAGGUAAAGGACAUUUACUUUUGACAAAGUGAUGUUUAAACCAAAGCCUACAGAAUUAGCUGGUUGAGGGGAAGAAGGAGACAAGGAGGCAUUCCCAGGGAAGAAAGUCCUUUUCUUUUAAGAGGUGAGGAAGAGAACUAAAGAGUGAGGGGGCAGAUGUGGUGCAGGCUAUAACUGUAGCACUUGGGAAGUUACGGCAGGCCUCAAGCUGCAGGUCAUCCUGGGCUGUGCAGUGAGCCCGGCUGUGUAACAAGGCACUAACCUGUAUAACGUCCCCCUACACACCAAUUACAGGGGAGAGAAGGAAACUCAGAAAGACACCGAAAGACAGGGGCUAAACAGUCUUAAUAAUUGGUUGAAAUAAAAUUUAACACUUCCAGUCUCUCCCCUAAGGUUUAUAGUUAUGGCAUUGUUACGCUAUGCUAUUCCAGAAUGAAGUAUGGUUUGCAUUUUUAUGUUAGUGGCGUGAAGCACUGUGCUAUGUUACAAAACUAAAGGAAUUUUAAUUUUCUAUCUAGGUAGUACUGACCACAUGAUUACUAAACUAAAAAGUUUAUAGAUUAUUUUUUCCUUUCUUUUUUAUUUUCCUGGCCUUUUUCAUUUAGAUUAUUUUUUUUCAAUGAGUAUCUACACCUUGGUUCUCUAUCUAUAAUGUUAUACAUCCUCAAAUUUGUCAAACUUUCCAUACAGUUGUCCAGGGGUCAUCACUGUAAAAGAGUAAUGAUAUUCAAAUGUUUGCUGCAGAAGAUCUACCUGAAAGGCUGCUGACACAGGAGGCUCUUGGCUGCCUGCUCAGUGUCUGAUUCUAGUCUGGAGUGGGGCCUGAGGAUUCAUACGUCUCUCAAUGCCCAGGUGGUGCAAAUGCUAGAGUCCUGAGAACACACUGCCACACCACAGCCCUGCAGCCCGUGAACCUGAGUACAGGGGUCAGGAGGGAGCAGCUGUUCUCAGCUCUUAGCCAAGGUAGUAAUGGCCAUGCGUACAAAUAUAAUUCAAGUCCGAAGCUGGAGCUGAAUUGUAUUUUCAAACAAUUUUGGAAAAGUGACAUUCCAAUCUUGCUGUACUCUUUAGCUGGCUUCACAGAGAGAUGUCUCACAGAAUCACCAUCUCAAUGGAGCAGUGAGUCUUCUAAAACCACUUAGUCCUCCAGGCGUCACUACUGUUAAACGGAACCUUAUCUUCCCAAGGAUUUGGAAGCUGAGAAGCUCCUCCACGAGGUGAAAGAAUUUUGAACACAAGCAAUGAUGUUUUGUUUUAGAAAACACCAUCGAGGUUUCAAAGUAAUGAGAGUGGGAAGAAUAGGCAAUUGCAGUACACUUCAUCAAGAGAGGCCAACAUUACAUAUGCAGUAUCUUCUUUAAAUCAGAGUGGUUAUAAUAAUCCGUGAAAUUCUGAACCAUCUCCCGGAAUCUUAUCAACCACUUCUUUGGUAACAUGGGCUCCACAGCAGCACUGCAUGGUGAUCUUGUUAUACCAACUCACUUUACAGCCACUCAGUAUAUUUAAACACACUGCCUAGCUCUCUCUCUUACACACACACACACACACACACACACACACACACACACCCAAACCCCUACAUAUAUCAAGAACAACAAUAAAAAAAAAACCUUGUGAUUUUACUUUUGUUCCAACUAGAACAAUUCAUCUUAAUAAUGGUUAACAUGAAUUAAAAUUUUUCAUAAACUGAUCAAAAUAUUAUAUAUAAUUACAGCAACAGUGGCACUCAGCAGCCCUUAGGAGGUAACAGACGCCACUUCCUUCCCAGCCCAGUCUCGUGGUUGAUGGAAUGAGAUGCUACUGUGCACAGUGCUCUGCAGUGACUCCUUUCUACUUUUCGCUACUUUUCAGUUUGUUCACUGAACUUAUGACAACUUACAAAGUUUAGCAGUGGCACUGCUGUGGAUCCCAACUGACGGAACUCAGUCCGUGAGCUCACACUGCUGGCUUGUUCUCUGGGCAUCUUGAUUUCUGAGAGCAAGGGCAGACAGUGAGCAAGGGAAGCAGCCAUCCCAAGAGCUGCUGGGGUGACAUCCAUAUCAUCAACCUGACGGCGGGUCAUACCAUCGGGUCAUGCCAUGUCAUGCCAUGAUGGCCUGCCAUACUGGGUCACUCCACAGAGCACCAUUAAUUCAUUUGGUGGAGAUGGUUUCAAAAUGCUGCAGAGUCCAGGUCAUGGCAGAGUGAGCGCUGCUUGAUUUUUGCCAGGUUUACAUGAAAAGUGAGAGCAAGAGAUACAGUGGAGAGAUCUAAAACCUGCACCUUGGCUUAGGGGGAAGCUUAGAGUCACACCGAGAGAGAGUGGUUUAAGGAGACUGUGUCAUUGGAGAUAAGCUAUUUGUAGCGAGGCAAGUGGAAAAGUGCCUUAAGGAUACUCCUGACUAAGCACAGCCAUUCACUGCAGCCCACGGGAGAGGAGAAGUGUAAAUCCACUUCUCAGACUUUCUGUGGGAGGACAGCUCCAGGGCACCGUCUUUGCACAGGAACAGGUGCAUGUAUGUAUGUGCACCACAUGCAUGAAUUACCCUUGCAAAUUGGAAGAGGGUGUUGGAUCUCCUGGAACUGAAGUUAUAGGCUGCUGUAAUUGACCAUGUACAUGCUAGGAAAUCAACUCACAUUCCUCUGUCUGAGCAGUGAAGACUCCACAGCUGGUCAGAAUGCAGAGAUCUGCAGUGAGAUCCCAACACAGCAGGCUUAGAGAACACUGUGGAAGAGGGAUGGAAAGAACCAGAGACUCAGGACGCCUGCUGCUCGAUGUAGCCUCUGACACUAGGAACAGGAUAGCCACUUACUCUCAACAAUUUGGUUGCUUGAGCAAGACAGCAUAAUGACAUCAGGUGACAAGCCAGUGUGGAUGAGGGAACUUCCCCAAGAUCCAACCCCUAGACGAGGAGUUGAAGUCUGCAGUGGCGUCUGAACUGUGACUGCAGCUUGGUUUCCUCAGGCCUGAGCUCCCACAUACAAUCCUGAGUGGUCAGUCAGCUUCGAAUACAUGUACAUACGGGCAAUGCUAAACGACCUCAGUCCUCAGUAGUGGCAUAUACAUUUAUGAAUAUGUAUAUACACACAUAUAACAUAUAUAGCACAUGCAUGUGCCUGUGUAUGUGUUUGUGUGUGUCUGUGUAACAGUAAUAAUUAAAGACAAAAAGGUCAUGAAUUUGGGAAGGGGACACAGAGUGUUGGGAGGAGAGGUGACAUGGAUAUAGAUGUAGUACUACUAUAUAAAAGAAAAAAAAAAAAGAAAACCUUUAACAAGAUGAAAUAUACCCCACCUACCCCCUACCCACCAACUGAAUGGCAAUGCUGGUGAGAAGGUCAUUCUCAACACAGCUGCCAACUGAGGAUGUGUCUGGCGGAUGAAGAUAUUCUAAAGAGAUGUUCGUGGCCCUUACUUUGGCUAUCAGACUGUGGAAACAAUGGACUGGGAAAAAGAACAAAACAAACCCAAACCCUGGAAUUAUCCCUAGAGCGUCGUGCUGGGAGAAGAGAAAAGCCUACAGCCUGCACCAACCAGACAUGAAACUUCUCUCCUUGAAAGGUUAUUGUUUACUUAGCCCACCUUACAGGAAAGACAGGGUAGGGGUGUCAAUGACAGGCAGGACCACAGCUUACACUUGUAUAACUCUGGCCUUUACUUAAACCUUAACCUUCCUUCAAGACCCUGAAGGAAGAUUUGCAGGAAGGUUGCUGGAUCUCUGUCCCUCUUUCCAGAGGUCACAUGAAUAAAUCCAUUUUCUGCCUUCAUUAUUAAUUUGGCUCUUUUGAUUGGCUUAUAGAAGAUGGGUAGGCAAAACGGGCUCAUUGGGGCAGAUGCAAUCAUUUCAGCCAAGUGAGGACAGAUCCAUGGAAGUCUAUAUGAUGGCUCUGUUCUUUCUAUUUUAAACAACGUAUUAAUGUGAGUAAGUCUGCUUCAUGAAGCAAAUACCUGCGAAUUAUACUGUGAAGAUAUCGCUUAGUGUAAGAGAAAGGUGUGCUGUGAAUAUGGUUCUCUUUAUACUUAAAUGUUUUUAUGCUAAAGUUUGAUUUUUGUUUUACUUUUACAUUGAAUAUACACAGUUUCUAUUUUUUAUUUAAGGCAAAGUUUAUACAUUACUAUUUUCUUUCUAAUAAUUGUAUUUAAGAAAGUAUUUACUACAUUAAUUCUAGGUUUCUGGAUUGACUUGGAGUUUUGAAUCCAGCCAAGUUUUAAGGAAUACGAUAUGUGAAGGCUCAGAUAGUGAACAGUGCUUUGGGACUCUUAAACCUGCUGCCUCCAGGCAGCUGGAUAUGGUUUCUAACAGCUGUCAGAAAGUAGACAGUACUAAGCAGGAAUAAAACUGAAGCUGACUGUGGGCCGGCUAGCACUUUGGGGAAGGGCAGGGGGAUAAUGGAAUUCAGCAGGUUUCAGAAGGAGUACAAGUCUCUCUUGAUGGCACAGAAUGCAGAAAACGCACGCACACACACGCCAAUGCCUUUCAAAAUGAGUCACACACUAGAAGAAUGAUUAAAGUCAGAAGUCUACAAACCAGAGAGACAUUAAUUUUAUUCUUCCUCACCCAAAGACCUAGUGACUGUGAUUCUAGACCACACCUCUGCUUGGCUGCAUCUUGCUCAUGUUCUAGAACCUCUUGCAGGUUUCAAGCAAAUGAGUACUCAAGACCUCCCUGGAAGAAAAAGCCAAACAAAACAAGAAAUCACAACAGCUGCCCAUCUUUCUUCUGUAGCUUCACCUUAAAAGGUAUGGACUUGUUAGGCACUAGGGCAUGGAUUCAAGGAAACAAGAAAUAAUGUAGGUGAGGACGGAGAGGCAGGGAUGAAUACAGGCAAACUAUACUAACUGUAUUAAUAAAGAAUAAGGAGGUCAUAAUAAAACAUUUAGUGUCCUGAGACUGUAGGACCUCAUGAGGUAUCCAUAGCUGGUCUUGAAAUCACUGUGUGACCAAGCUGCAUCUGAGUUUUCAGUCCUCCUCCCACCUCUGCCUCCCAAGUGGAACUCAGAUAUGCACUACCACACCCAUUAUUUUAUAUGCGAACUUAAAAAUACUUUUAGAAAUGAACAAGGAGAAACAAGGACAGGGCUUCACUGGAGUCCAGUCCUUGGCUGCCCAGCUUCUGUCCUGCUGAGCUUUUCUUAAAAGGAAAUUAAUGAGGAAUCAAGUUAGCUUUCAGUACACUUUUACACUUAAUUGUGCGUGUGUGUGUGUGUGUGUGUGUGUGUGUAUGAGAGUAUGUGGUAUGUAUGCGUGUGUGUAUGUGUGUGUGUAGUAUGGUAUACAGUAUGUGGUGUAUGUGUGUGAGUGUGCAUGUGGUGUGUGUGUAUGAGAGUACGUGUGUGUGUGGUUUGUGGUGUAUGUGUAUGAGAGUGUGUAUAAGUGUGUGAGUGUUGUACAGUCUCUUCUGCUGAUCCCUGCUUAGCUCUUGUCUCAAGCUACCCCAUUACGUACUCACUCAUCUUCAAACUGUCUUCAGCCUUGGAUGCUUUCUUUACACCUGUG